rnacentral:lncRNA from 1 species
AUGGGUUGUGAAAUGCACGGGACAGUCCAGAGAGAAAGAUGGAACAUACAGGGAGGGAGCAGUGUUUGGAGCCCCAACAGUUUCACCACUAAUUUAAUUUAUCCAAACUAUUUUUCAUCUUUAUGGCACCAUGAUAUGGAUAUGAUCCAAAGGGACGCAAUUAUUUAUUUGCUGCUGAUAAUUUUCCACCAUUUUGGCAUGGGACCUGAGAGGGACACGACGACAAUGGCGGUCAAUGCAAUAAGUUGGUUUGCUGCUACUGUAUAAGUCUGUAAGAUAGCUACAGGCACGUUUACUCCAUCAUCAUCAUCAGACAAUAGGAACGACUGUAGCUAGCUCAACAACAGUCGGAGAAAGAUCCCUUCACCAAACUCACAGUAUUUUUUUAUCUGUCGACGACACCAGUACAUCGAACCUACAGUAAGAUGCAUCCACGGAGACGACGGAGCACAAAUCCUGGUCAAACACAGGAAAUACGGACGCGAGGAUCGUGCGCGCGGACGAGUAGAUUCUGCACUCCACUUGGAAAAACAAGCCCGGACGGAAACAGCCGAAGACGACGCGAGGCAGGCGAGUGACCACCGGCGGUCGCCGUCGCAGCUGCCAAGAUACGCGCGAUUGGCGGGCGAGGAGACGCAGGCAGGCAGGCGACGGUGCGAUCGAUCGCCGGGAAUCCAUGGCAGCGGUGAAAAACUGAAAACGACGGUCUGGCACCAAGCUCUGAACGUCUGAAGCAGACCGGCCGGCGGGCGAUGCGUGGGAUUAGGUCGUGCGUCGGCGUCUCGACACGGAUAGCCCGGUGAAAAACCGCGCCGCCGCCGGUGUCGUGGGCAUGCGUAUUUGCAGGGGGGGAGAUGGCGACGCGGCGCUCGUGGUCUGUAGCCUAGUAAUGGAAUAGAUAAGGAUGAUUCGAAGCCGCGCGCACACACACACACACACACGCCAAGUGUGACAACGGCCGCAAAGCCGUCGGCCGGCCCGCCGUCGUGGUGUGUGCGGUUGCACCGUCACUGUUGGUCGUACC